rnacentral:rRNA from 1 species
CCUACGGGUGGCAGCAGUGGGGAAUAUUGGACAAUGGGGGGAACCCUGAUCCAGCCAUGCCGCGUGUGUGAAGAAGGCCCUCGGGUUGUAAAGCACUUUCAGUGAGGAAGAACGCCUGGUGGUUAAUACCCAUCAGGAAAGACAUCACUCACAGAAGAAGCACCGGCUAACUCCGUGCCAGCAGCCGCGGUAAUACGGAGGGUGCGAGCGUUAAUCGGAAUUACUGGGCGUAAAGCGCGCGUAGGUGGCUUGAUAAGCCGGUUGUGAAAGCCCCGGGCUCAACCUGGGAACGGCAUCCGGAACUGUGAAGCUAGAGUGCAGGAGAGGAAGGUAGAAUUCCCGGUGUAGCGGUGAAAUGCGUAGAGAUCGGGAGGAAUACCAGUGGCGAAGGCGGCCUUCUGGACUGACACUGACACUGAGGUGCGAAAGCGUGGGUAGCAAACAGGAUUAGAUACCCUUGUAGUC